GGCUGGGAGAGAGAUCUGGGGAGCUCGGGGACUGAGGGGAGCUGCGGGAAAAGCGCCGGGAGGGGACGCAGAAUGACGGUCCCUGGGAGGGAUGGUGAACGUAAGCGUGUGCUAUAGCCUCCCCACAACAAACACCUCCUUCUCUCGGAUGGACAAAAAGUUAUAACUCGGAUGUCAACAGAAGAUUUCUUCUGCCUCGGCACGGAGCAACCCUAACAAUGUUGAUAAGGAAAAGCCUGUAAUUCUUUCUUUUCAAGUCCGAUUUCAAGCCUGGGAAACUGGGAGGACUCCAAGCCCUGGAGCCGCUGCUGCCGCCAGAAGAAAAAGUGCCUGUGGAAGCUCCUGCAGCCAAGUGGGAUCUCGCCAGUGACCCUCAUCCUUCCAUGGAGUAGCUCUUAGAAGUGCCUAGGAUUAGCGCUGGGGUGUGAGACCUGAGCUCUGUCACUGCCUCGCCUGGCUUCCCGUUCUCAGCCCCUAAGGUGCAGGACGUGUGAGCACAACUCCACUGGGGAUCCAGGGAGGGAGGUAGGGUCUACUACUUGUCCCGCACGGUCUGGGAGCACCGU